rnacentral:rRNA from 1 species
CGAACGCUGGCGGCGUGCUUAACACAUGCAAGUCGAACGGAAAGGCCCUGCUUUUGUGGGGUGCUCGAGUGGCGAACGGGUGAGUAACACGUGAGUAACCUGCCCUUGACUUUGGGAUAACUUCAGGAAACUGGGGCUAAUACCGGAUAGGAGCUCCUGCUGCAUGGUGGGGGUUGGAAAGUUUCGGCGGUUGGGGAUGGACUCGCGGCUUAUCAGCUUGUUGGUGGGGUAGUGGCUUACCAAGGCUUUGACGGGUAGCCGGCCUGAGAGGGUGACCGGCUACAUUGGGACUGAGAUACGGCCCAGACUCCUACGGGAGGCAGCAGUGGGGAAUAUUGCACAAUGGGCGGAAGCCUGAUGCAGCAACGCCGCGUGCGGGAUGACGGCCUUCGGGUUGUAAACCGCUUUCGCCUGUGACGAAGCGUGAGUGACGGUAAUGGGUAAAGAAGCACCGGCUAACUACGUG